UCCGUAAUGAUGCAAGACUAA
rnacentral:piRNA from 1 species